UACAGAGGGGGCAAGCGUUGGUCGGAAUUACUGGGCGUAAAGGGCGCGUAGGCGGCCCGCUAAGUCGAACGUGAAAUCCCCGGGCUUAACCCGGGAACUGCGUCCGAUACUGGCAGGCUUGAAUCCGGGAGAGGGAUGUGGAAUUCCAGGUGUAGCGGUGAAAUGCGUAGAUAUCUGGAGGAACACCGGUGGCGAAGGCGGCAUCCUGGACCGGUAUUGACGCUGAGGCGCGGAAGCUAGGGGAGCAAACGGG
rnacentral:rRNA from 1 species